CCAUUUAACUAAGGAAAUGUUUUAUUUAUAAAUUCAAAUUCGUUUCCUUUUCUCCCCCAAAUCGCCGAUCCACUCCUCUUCCCCGACCCUUCCUCUGUUCUCUCUCGCGGACGAACCGAACCCAGUGGACUUCCGGCAAUCGUCGACGUCGACUGAGGCCUCGUCGCCGGAGCUUGCCAGAGAUCGAAGAAGGGGGCCGGAUCAUCUUGAUCUCCUCUUCUCCACCCUUCCCCAACGCCGACACCAAGGGAGAUGAUCGCCGGAAUGAAGAGGCAAUUAGGGCUCCGAGGCUAGCUCCGAUUUCUUCUUCUCUGGAUGUUCACUGAUCUGUGCCCUAGCACGGUCUGCGUUUCCCCGAUCGAUGCCAUUGGAUCAAGCCAGAUCCACCGAUCGCCGGUGUAGAGAGGGAGUUAGGGCUUCAAUGGGUCAGGUCAUGGAUCGUUUGAGUGGAUCUUGGAUUCCUCUGCCGGAGCUAGGUCUUGGCAGACGCUGGCUAGUUGAGGGUCAGUAGAUUCAAUACAUUGCAUUAUGGAUUGGAUUAGGUGACACUUUCUGGAGGCAACCGAUCGAGUACUUGGACUUUCUCUUCUUCACUGUGAUUGAGGUCUCGGUUGAAGUGGAGAAGAAUCCCAA